rnacentral:rRNA from 1 species
GACGAACGCUGGCGGCGGGCUUAACACAUGCCAGUUGAACGGUGAAGCCGCGUCCCUGUUGUUGGGUGUGGAUGAGUGGAGGCCGGGUUAGUAACACGUUUGUUACUUGCCCCGUGCUUCUGCAUUACCGCAUGAAAGUGUGGCUAACACUUGAUCUUGUGAUUCUCUCGCCUCUUGGGUCUGGGGAGGUUGUUUUUUAGGCGGGGGAUGCGCUCCCGGCCUUGCAGCUUGUUGGUGGGGUGACGGUCUACCAAGGCGGUGCCGGCUAGCCGGCCUGAGAGGGUGGACGGUCACACUGGGACUGCGACACGGCACAGACUCCUACGGGAGGCAGCAGUGGGAAAUAUUGCACGAUGGGCGCAAGCCUGAUGCAGCGACGCCGCGUGAGGGAUGGAGGCCUUCGGGUUGUGAACCUCUUUCGCCAGUGACGCAGGCCUGCCUAGUUUGUGGGUGGGUUGACGGUAGCUAGAUAAGAAGCGCCGGCUAACUACGUG